AUACGUAGGUGACAAGCGUUAUCCGGAUUUACUGGGCGUAAAGGGCGUGUAGGCGGCCCGGUAAGUCUGGAGUGAAAGUCCUGCUUUUAAGGUGGGAAUUGCUUUGGAUACUGUCGGGCUUGAGUGCAGGAGAGGUAAGUGGAAUUCCCAGUGUAGCGGUGAAAUGCGUAGAGAUUGGGAGGAACACCAGUGGCGAAGGCGACUUACUGGACUGUAACUGACGCUGAGGCGCGAAAGUGUGGGGAGCAAACAGGAUUAGAUACCCUGGUAGUCCACACUGUAAACGAUGAAUGCUAGGUGUAGGGGGUAUCGACCCCUUCUGUGCCGCAGUUAACACAAUAAGCAUUCCGCCUGGGGAGUACGGCCGCAAGGUUGAAACUCAAAGGAAUUGACGGGG
rnacentral:rRNA from 1 species